UUCCGGUUGAUCCUGCCGGACCUGACUGCUAUCGGAUUGAUACUAAGCCAUGCGAGUCAUUGUAGCAAUACAAGGCAUACGGCUCAGUAACGCGUAGUCAACCUAACCUAUGGACGGGAAUAACCUCGGGAAACUGAGAAUAAUGCCCGAUAGAACAUUAUGCCUGGAAUGGUUUAUGUUCCAAAUGAUUUAUCGCCGUAGGAUGGGACUGCGGCCUAUCAGUUUGUUGGUGAGGUAAUGGCCCACCAAGACUAUUACAGGUACGGGCUCUGAGAGGAGUAGCCCGGAGAUGGGUACUGAGACACGGACCCAGGCCCUAUGGGGCGCAGCAGGCGAGAAAACUUUGCAAUGUGCGAAAGCACGACAAGGUUAAUCCGAGUGGUUUCUGCUAAAGAAACCUUUUGUCAGUCCUAGAAACACUGAUGAAUAAGGGGUGGGCAAGUUCUGGUGUCAGCCGCCGCGGUAAAACCAGCACCUCAAGUGGUCAGGAUGAUUAUUGGGCCUAAAGCAUCCGUAGCCGGCUCUGUAAGUUUUCGGUUAAAUCUGUACGCUCAACGUACAGGCUGCCGGGAAUACUGCAAAGCUAGGGAGUGGGAGAGGUAGACGGUACUCGGUAGGAAGGGGUAAAAUCCUUUGAUCUAUUGAUGACCACCUGUGGCGAAGGCGGUC
rnacentral:rRNA from 2 species